UGUUUCUUCCCUGUUCCCAGAGGCAUAGCUAUGGAGAAGUGAUCAGAGAUUUGCCCCACCUGCCAUCCCUGUUGUUGUCAACAUUUAGAGUGCACCGACACCAGUUACAUCUUUCAGAAAGUCAAUUUAACAAGAACUUAACUUGUGCCAAACUCCAUUCAAGGUACUAGUAAUGCCAAGAAAAAAAGGAAAGGGGGGGGGCAAAUGGUCCCCGCUCUCAAGGAGCUCAAAUUCUAUUCAAGGAAGUAAUCUGUGACUAACAAGGUAUAUACCAACUAUAUAGAGAAGAGAGAAGACACUUGGAGAGGGGAAGACAUUAUCAACUGAGAGGAACUAGAAGUUUUGCAUCAGUGUCCCCCAGAGACUUCACUAAGAUUUAAGAAGAAAAUAUUAUGUCUAAAUACAGAACUCAAGAGAAUCACCAAAAGAUGAAGAAAUGGAGGCAAACAGGGUUAAGUGACUUGCCCAGGGUCACACAGCUAAUAAGUGUCUGA
rnacentral:lncRNA from 1 species